rnacentral:lncRNA from 1 species
CCCGGCCCGGCCCGGCCGCGCCGCUGCCUCACCCCAGCAAACCUCGCCUCGCCCCACCUCCCUAGCCGCCGCGGCGGCCUCGCUCCGGCCCUUUGUAACUGCUCGGAGGACGCGCGUCCAUUGGCUGCCGGGCUCCCGCCGGCCCCGCCUCCCCGCCGCCGCGAGCUGCCAAGCGGGACCCAGCCGGGAGCCCCGCCUGCGGGCCCGCCAGGCAGCCAAUCCGCAGCCGCGAGCGCCGGUUUCUGGCCACGCCCCACGCUCCCCGGGGGCUGGGCCGCCAGACCCCAGCCCCGGCCCGAUCGGCUCCCGGCUCCGAGAGGCCGCGUGGGGGCGGGGUCUGCCAGCCCCAGCACCGCUCAGCCGCUAGCCCCGGAGGGCCGGGUAGAGCGAUGGGUGUGUCUGUGUGAGUCUCUUUCGGAAAAAGGCUGUGGCCGUUCGACGCUCUUUUCUUCUAACCUCCUCUAGGCGCGGAAGAUCUGGUACUGCCUCAGCCCCACCCUGACCCCAUUCACAGCUCCGCAUUGGCAAUCCCAGCACAUGCCACCCAGAUCCGCUGCAGCGCCAGGCCCCUGCAUCCACUUCAACUUCCCCUCUCCAAGUCCACGCAUCAACUUCAGCAUUCCCCCGAAGAUCCCUCCUCAGUGCCCUUCACAUGCGACUCACUCUCCUAUUUCCUCCUGCUCCCAGCGGUCACCCCAAACCCAGCUCCCCCACCCAGUUCCAAACCCAGAAAGUCCUCAGAUCCCAGCGUCAGACCCAGAUCCUGAGCCCAAACACACCCCCAAAUAGCCUCCCGCCUCCCUCCAGCACAGAUCCAGGAUGGGGAUCCAAGCCGCACUCCUCUCAAACCCCUUCCCGAUCCAGGUUGGAAAGGGAGGAUCCCCACCCCAACCCCUCAAAGGAGGGGUUCCCCCUUCUUAGCACCCAGCUCCCGCGGGGCGGAGGGGGAGCAGUCAUCAUUACUUUGAGCUGUGUCUGACACUGCUGUAUAAUAAUCCUGAGGUGUCACUAAAAACCCAAAUAAACUCUACGUUUUCAUUCUGAAUUCCUAAUUUACUGCGAGACGCUCCACCCACCUUCCCUCUGCGACGCCAAAAUGAGCUCCAGAUUUGAAUCAGAAUGGUUCUGAUUAAUGCCAAUUUGUGCACUACUUUAGAGUCACUGGGUGAGCAUUUUCCCCACCUGUGAAGGCUUCCUUCCGGGAGAUGAAAAGGGAAAAGGCGUGGAUAUUGGAGCUGGGAUCUGAGACCCGCGCGCUUUCUCCCUCCUGUCUAGGACACUUACUUAAGCAAGUCAGCUAACCUUUCUGAACCUCCAACAGGCUCAGAGGCCUGCAACUUGCUCUACACCGCAGCUCCAGCAGCCUCAGC